ACAUGGGCAGUUCCCCAGAUUUCCAUUCCUAAAGCUGCCUCAGGAUUCAUCCUAUGUAGCCAUCUCUAUGGCUACUGAUAGAAUUUAUAAAGGAUCCCAUGGACUGAGCAGAGUUGACAUGAGAGGGAGGGGUGAAUGACAGUUGGGCCAGCUAUAGCAACUGGCACUCCUGACAGACAUGACCUGGUCCUUUCCUUAACAGCAAUUGCCUAAAAGAACAAAUCCUAGGUAUGGGUGGCACAGGCCACCUUCAAAAUGACACCUCAAACCAGAUGAAGCUGGAGGCAAGAACCAUGAGGAAGUGGUUGCUGGCUCUGACAGGGUAUGUUCAAGUUCUGUUCCUUCAGGGAUCCAUCUCCUCAUCUCGGCAGCAGGAGGACACAGAAGCCUCACCCAAUGCCAGUUCCUGGACUCUGGAAAGGAAGGCUAGUCCUCACCUUCUAGCUCCAGUCCUUGUUGUAGGGCCCUGGGCAAUCUUUCCAGUUUAUCUCUCAAGGCUUCAGUAUAGGGUGUCUUCAAGGGUGCCUAUGAGAGCUGAAAGUGUGGUAAAUGCAAGAAUGUAAGUAGAAUGCAGCUCAGGCCGCCAUAUUUGGCAGUCCUUUCCCUCAGGCACCUGAGACACAGUGAGUCUGCAGUGCCUCACCUUGGAGUGCCAGGGCCUCUCAUCUUGAUAAGUGAAUUCAGGUCAAAGACAGUAUUGGCAGCUGCACGCCCUCCUUGCCAUCCACUUCCCUGCCUCCUACCCAGGAUCGGAGAGCCUGGCUGCAGACUUGUGCUAGGAAAUCACCCCUAUCUUCAGAAAAGCAUAAUCCCCCUCCACUUCUGCCACAUGCACCCUGACUUCCUCUUCUCAGAGCUCUCACCGUGUUCUCAUUGCCUGCCUGCAGUGUUAGUAAUUCUAACAAGCUUAAUUCUUCUAGGGCUAAGCUUUCCCCCUGCAACCCUGCUCCAUGUCCCUCUGAACCUCCACCCUGUCACCAAGGGCUUAGCAGACAGCCUAUCCUGAAGCAGGGUGUCUUGUCUUCAGUGAUGUCUUGUCUUCAAAGCAACAUCCAGACAAACACCACUGGGAAGUUCGUACACUGUGAGCAGCCUGGCUUUGUUUUGACAGAGGUUAAGCUCACAGAGCAUAAAGCUCACCACUGUAGGGUGCUGUCAGUCAGCUCCGUGCAGCCUUUGCCGAAGACAACCCUCCUAAGUAAGACAGCGACCAUAUUCCCCAGAUCCGUGGUACCUGCCCACAGGAGACCAUCCCGAUGAGGCCUGCAGACUUUUGAGGUCUGUCUCAGUCAACAACAUACUGUCUCAGAAAAUUGUUCUCUUUAGUAAAAACUGACUUUCCCUAAAGCCCUCCCAGAACUCCAGAGGAUUUCUUGGUUUAGGCUGGAACAUAAAGCUACUCAAUGAGGAAGGCCUCUCGAUGCCCAGGAUUGCCCUGCUACAAAACUACCUAAAAGUACAGGACAGAUGGGCUAGGGUCAUAUUUGUACCGAGAAUUCUUGACUGGCAUAGGUAUAUGCCCACAGACACAGCAUCCAGGAGGCUGAAGCAGGAUUGUGAGUUUGAGGCAGCAUGGUCUACCCCAGGAGAACUUAUCUCAAGAUACCAUGAAUGAAUAAAAUAAAUAUUCCCCUCGAAGGGCACCACGGGCAAAGGAACCCAGGUAAGGAGGCAGCAUGAAUCCAUCUUUGCAAAGACUUAAACUGAGCAGUGUCUAAGCUGGGGACACUCAAGGAGACCUCACCUAACAAUAAAAAAGACUCUGGCGAAACAGAGAGGAUCCAAGAAAAGGUGUAAGAGAUAUGAGUGGGAACACCUACUAUAGGGGCUCAUUGGUCAGCAGGCAAGGUGCCACUAAGUGGGGGUGCGACCUUGGACUUGUCGGGUGGAAGGCACAUUUACAUAAACCAACAGGACACACUGCUAAAGGGACUACCUUCCAAAAUGGGGUAGUCUCUCACACACUGUUGGGGGAGGGUGUCAGCCCUUCUAGAGGGGUGUUGGUCAACUUAGAAAGAGUAGGAUACACUUAUAUCCCAGAGGUUCCAGGGUUGGGUAGAGAAGUGUGGGUGCCCUGGAGGGGUAGGACACAGAUUCCUAAGUGACAUGGAUCCCCAGGGGAGUAGGGGUUGGAGACAUCAUAAUGCCCACCUCUUACCUGGAAACACCAAUGCUAAAGGGAGGGGCACAGGAAGCAAGGGGAGGAAGGGACCCUGCCCACAGUAGGUACUCCCAAAAUGCUAGUCACCAGCUCUUGAAAAUGACAGCCACAGCUAAGACCAGGGAUUGCCUUCUAUCCCGGUAGAGACUCUGGGACCCUGUGACCACCAGGUCCUUUAUUCAUUUACAUGUUUGUGACUGUUCAACCUCUCUCCAGGGUGUGCUGGGAGCUGUUUAUUAUCCCCAGCCCACAAGCCCCCGCUACAGAAAACGUAGCGGUCACUCCUGAGGUCAUAGUGGCCCUCAGCAGCGGCCUUUCUUUCCGGCCCACCCCUCACCCCACCCCUCACCCCACCCCUCCGGUCUUUGGGGUCUGUGAUUAGCCUGGGUAUUGAAUGACCCCUGCUCUUCUUCCCCCACCUCGCAAGGGUUAAUCAGCCUUCCUGCAGAGCGGCUGGGCGGCUCGGAAGGAGGCAGCGAAGCGGCCUGGCGGCAGGCUGCUUUCAUUACUUUGAUGGGAUACAUGUGCUUGGCUUUAUCUCCGGCCCUUUCUCUGUAAUUCAGCGCUUGAACGUCUCAGCUGUCGGCCGAUCUGCAGACAAUUGCUUGGGGACACAGCACAGGGAACGUGCAUGAGGUCGCGCUGUCCUGAAGGCCGUGGCCAAGGGUUCCUGAAACGCAGAGGAAGUAGCCUGGCUUCACAGAGGCAGACACUGCUGUCCUUGUGGGUCACAGUUCUGGAUCAACAGUCCCAGAAAGAGAGCCAGGUAGGACAAGGGUCAUCAAGAGCUGAGAUGGUUCAGAAUCUGGAAAGCUCACUGCUCCCCUUGGCUUCUUCGACACCCCUACCCUUCUCUAGGCCUCCUUCCAGUCUCCGUGGUUCACCUGCUUCCAAAACCAUGGCCUUGACGCACACGAACACAGACCCAAGCUGAGAUGCUCAAACAUCACUCCUGAGACCCAGAAACAGGUAGAAGGAAGUUGGACCAGGACCUAGGACUGUGCAGUCAAUGCCCCCACCGCACAGCAGACCCUCACUCCCAAUACUUUGGCUCCCGGCACCCAUUCUCUUCUCCAGGAAGCUCAUGGCCUCUCUCUUGCUAGGUCUCCUGGAGUUUCCUGGCUGGACACGAUGUUCAGAUAAACCAAAAGCCUUUACAUACAACCAACAUUGCAGAAGCCUCUGGAAUCCUCACCUGCUGUGUUCUUAGCCAUCAGAGGCAGCAGCUAGGUCAUUUGUGAGCUGGGUUGAGGCUGGGACAACAGGGAACCUGGGGACUGUUAGGAAGCGAGAACAUGUCUGCUUCUUUUAUGACCUCCAAUAUUAGUCACCAGGAAGCUGCCCCAUGAAGCACACGACCUCGUAUCACUAACUCGGCUUGAAUUAAUUAAGGAGACUCGUAUGGGGAUAAUUAGAGACCUUUCUGUUGAUGACAUCUCAUCUCCUGGUGGUGGAAUUGGCUUCUGCAUCCUCUGGCAUUUCCUUAGGUCCCCACAGAUACUGCUAACAGGUUCUGUUUUUCCAAAGUACCUUAGCUCUAUGGCAGGACGGGGUUAGUGAGUCCACUGAUUAUGGCACAUGGACUCCGGGGAUGAAGGGAGGAUAGGGAGAUGGCUUCUGUUUCCAUCUGCCUUGCCUUACUUCCUUAUUUUCUUCAUGAUUUCAGUUCUUUGUUUUUAAACCUCACCGACAUCAAGACCACUAAUUUCCCAAACAUUCAAGGGAGCACCAUGUUAAAACUUCUACUCUAGGGCUGGAGAGAUGGCUCAAUGGUUAAGAGCACUGACUGCUCUUCCUGAGGUCCUGAGUUCAAUUCCCAGCAACCACGUGGUGGCUCACAACCAUCUUUAAUGGGAUCCGAUGUCCUCUUCUGGUGUGUCUGAAGACAGCUACAGUGUACUCAAUACAUGAAAUAAAUAAAUCUUAAAAAAAAAAAAAAACCGAAAAACAAAA